CAGCCAUCAAGUUUCCAUCUGAGGGCCAGGUUCUUGCCUGUGUGAUGCAUUUCCCUUCAAAGAGCCUGUCAGUCAUUCAUUACCAGAUCUGUGGCUGCUUCUUUGCUAACCAGCAGGUGAAAAGACAGGCCACUCAGCUCCCAGAAUUCACUGCACAUUUGUAGUUUUCUCUUGGUUUGGUUUGCAAGAAGGAAUCCACCAGUAAAGACAACUCUUGAAUAUC